rnacentral:lncRNA from 10 species
GGCGCAUCCCCUGGGCGGGCACAGCCGUCCGCCUUCCGAGCUCGGCCCCCGCGAAGGCUCCUACCCGCCUGCUCUCCUGUAACGCACCCGCAGCCCAAAGGCUCCCGACACGCGCCGCUCGUCUUGCACCCUCUCUCCCCACCCAGCCGCCACCCCUCCUGGCCCUCCUUCCGCACUCACUCGCAGCUCUCGCUUGCCUUCGCUCACUCCCAACCCGCUUCUCGCCCCUUCCCCGCGACUCUGUCAGUUUCCACUCCCCUGGCGGCCUCCACGCGCGGAGGACCUCGCCUGCGGCCGGGCGUUCCAGGGGCGCAGCCCCGGGUUCCUCCACCCUCCGCUUUCUCUGCUCGCAUCCAGACCCUUCGCCCCGAAUAGGACCCCUAUCCCUGCCCAGCUAGCGCGCACUAAGUGGGCUCUGCAAACGACAAGUGGCGCAGACGCGGGGGCUGCAGCCCCAGUACGGGGGAUUCCGCGCGCAGAGCGUCCGCCGGACCCCGGAGCAGGCCCGGGAGAGCGGAGGCGGGGAGGGCGCGGGAGAGGGCGACGACAGCUGCGGAGCCUGGGAGGCAGGGACCGCGCCAGGCCGGCUAGGCCACCGCACGCAAGGCUCGGAGCGACCCAAAUGUGGAGCUCCUCCUCCUCCUGCGCCAGCGGGUGAGCACCGCGCCGGAGGCCGCCGUGAGCUUGGGCCCCUUAGGAACGAAGAGCAGGGGAAGGAGCCUCGGAUUGGGGUCCACAGGGCCGGGCCUGUUUCUCGCAGGCAGUUGUGCCGUCUUGUGUGGGUGCCUUGGACGGCCCCGCCUCAGCCACUCCUGGGGCCCCGACAGUCCGGUUAGCUCAUCCCGUCCAGCUUGUGGCGACCCCGUCGCAGGAGCGCGGAGGGCAGGCGGGGAGGCUCGGGCAGAGCCAAGGAGGCGGGCCUUGGAGCCCAAACCAGCGCCUCCGGCUCAGCGCAGAUGGGGUGGGAGUCGGAGCUCCAGGACGGGGCGCGCUCCCUUCCCGCUCCGAAGCCGGGGUACCCUGCGCUGCCCUGGAGGUCGAACCUCUGGUUCGCGCUCCGGGUCCUCUCUGGUAUCAGCCUCACACCCCUCCUCCUGCCCGACUCCAGCCCUUACCUCGCCCUGGACUCGGAGCUGAGGGCAGCGGUGGGUCCCAAGAUCGAGCGGUGAAACUGAGAGUGCGAGAUUUAUUCACUUGACAAAUGUAUUUUGAGCACCUGCUACUUGUCAGGAACCGUCCUAGGCACUUGGAACACAUCAGUGAACAAAGCAAAGAUCGUUGCCUUCUUGUUGCAUUAUAUUUUAAUCAGUGUUACCUUUCCCUCAAACGUUCACAAACAUACCAGAGAGGAGUUUGCUGAGGACAAAAAAUGGCAAAUGAGAGCUUUUUGCACUUUCGUAUACGUGUCCUCUGCACCGGGUUUAGUCAUUUUCAACAUACCCUCCCCUCACUCAUCCACAUCCUCUGCUUUUAGUUCAGAACAACAGUCGUUGUGUGAAACUCUGAGCCUUCACACCACUACCUUGUUUUUAAAUGUAAUUGCUAAUCUUCAACGCCAUCUUCUGGUUUACUCAUUUGCCAUAUUGAUCCACUAGAAGUUAUUUUUCUUAAUGAUGAUGUGAAUACAAGUAAUAAAACAUUUUAAUCACUAAAACUCCGGAUGGCCUCAUUAC